GUCUCUUCCAACUCUAUGAUUCUAUGAUUCAAAGCACUAAGAUUUUAGGGUACAGUAAUAGAAUCGUGGAAUUGUAGAGUUGGAAGGGAC